UAAUAGCCCCGAUAAAAGCGACAUCCUUUUUUGGAAUGGAGAAACCUCAUAGGUUUUCAAAACCUAUGAGGUUUAGCUUUGGAGAAAAAAGAUACAGCGGAUAGCGGGAAAUAGC
rnacentral:sRNA from 1 species